rnacentral:sRNA from 1 species
CUUCACUAUGGCGACGGUGGGGGCUCCGCGGCGCUUCUGCCGCUGCGCCUGCUUUUGCACCGAGAACUUGUACGUGGCGCGCUAUGGGCUGCACGUGCGCUUCCGAGGCGAGCAGCAGCUGCGCCGGGACUACGGCCCGAUCCUGCGCAGCCGAGGCUGUGUUAGCGCCAAGGACUUCCAGCAGCUGUUAGCAGAGGAUGCAGCUCUGGCCCCCGAGUUUCUGGCCGUGGCUGAGUACAGCGUGUCCCCGGGCGCAGACCUCAAGGGCCUUCUCCAGCGGCUGGAGACAGUAUCGGAGGAGAAGCGCAUCUACCGGGUGCCUGUGUUCACAGCACCCUUCUGCCAGGCCUUGCUGGAAGAGCUGGAGCACUUCGAGCAGUCGGACAUGCCUAAGGGGAGGCCCAACACCAUGAACAACUAUGGGGUGCUGCUGCACGAGCUUGGGCUGGACGAGCCGCUGAUGACACCACUGCGGGAGCGCUUCCUGCAGCCACUGAUGGCCCUGCUGUACCCUGACUGUGGCGGGGGCCGGCUCGACAGCCACCGGGCCUUUGUGGUCAAAUACGCACCGGGCCAGGACCUCGAGCUGGGCUGCCACUAUGAUAAUGCCGAGCUCACACUCAAUGUGGCCUUGGGCAAGGUCUUCACGGGGGGCGCCCUGUAUUUUGGGGGCCUCUUCCAG